UUGGAGGGCAAGUCUGGUGCCAGCAGCCGCGGUAAUUCCAGCUCCAAUAGCGUAUAUUUAAGUUGUUGCAGUUAAAAAGCUCGUAGUUGAGUUUCGGGAUUGACGUAAUGGUCGUGCCUUAAGGGGUAUGAACUGUUACUGUUGAUUUCUCACCUUCUGGAGAAACUUGAUGUCCUUAAUUGGGUGUCUUGCGGAUCCAGGACCUUUACCUUGAAAAAAUUAGAGUGUUUAAAGCAGGCAUUUUUGCUCGAAUACAUUAGCAUGGAAUAAUAGAAUAGGACGGCAUGGUUCUAUUUUGUUGGUUUCUAGGAUCACCGUAAUGAUUAAUAGGGAUAGUUGGGGGCAUUAGUAUUCAAUUGUCAGAGGUGAAAUUCUUGGAUUUAUUGAAGACUAACUACUGCGAAAGCAUUUGCCAAGGAUGUUUUCAUUAAUCAAGAACGAAAGUUAGCGGAUCGAAGACGAUCAGAUACCGUCGUAGUCUUAACCAUAAACUAUGCCGACUAGGAAUCAGACGAUGUUAAUUUUUUAAUGACUCGUUUGGCACCUUACGGGAAACCAAAGUGUUUGGGUUC
rnacentral:rRNA from 1 species